CCUACGGGAGGCAGCAGUGAGGAAUAUUGGUCAAUGGGCGCGAGCCUGAACCAGCCAAGUAGCGUGAAGGAUGAAUGCCCUACGGGUUGUAAACUUCUUUUAUAAAGGACUAAAGUGAGGCACGUGUGCCUUUUUGUAUGUGCUUGAUGAAUAAGGAUCGGCUAACUCCGUGCUAGUAGCCGCGGAAAUACGGCGGAUCCGAGCGUUAUCAGGAUUUAUGGGGUUUAAAGGGAGCGUAGAUGGGUUUUUAAGUCAGUUGUGAACGUUUGCGGCUCAACCUUAAAAUUGCAAUUGAUACUGGCAGCCUUGAGUACAGUUGAGGUAGGCGGAAUUCGUGGUGUAGCGGUGAAAUGCUUAGAUAUCACGAAGAACUCCGAUUGCGAAGGCAGCUUACUAAACUGCCACUGACAUUGAUGCUCGAAAGUGUGGGUAUCAAACAGGAUUAGAUACCCGUGUAGUC
rnacentral:rRNA from 1 species